GACGGAGGUCCCUAGCGUUGUUCGGAAUCACUGGGCUUAAAGCGCGUGUAGGCGGACUGGCGCGUACCUUGUGAAAGCCCCCGGCUCAACCGGGGAAUAGCUCGGUAUACGGCCAGUCUUGAGGCAGAUAGAGGUGCCUGGAACCUUAGGUGGAGCGGUGAAAUGCGUAGAUAUCUAAGGGAACGCCGGUGGCGAAAGCGGGGCACUGGGUCUGUUCUGACGCUGAGACGCGAAAGCGUAGGGAGCAAACGGG
rnacentral:rRNA from 1 species